rnacentral:tRNA from 2 species
UGCCCCGUAGCUCAGUUGGUUAGAGCACCUGACUGUUAAUCAGGGUGUCCUCGGUUCAAGUCCGAGCGGGGCAGCCA